rnacentral:rRNA from 1 species
CGGGAUGAGCUCAAAUUUAAAAUCUGGCGUCUUUCAGGCGUCCGAGUUGUAAUCUAUAGAGGCGUUUUCCGCGCCGGACCGCGUCCAAGUCUCUUGGAAUAGAGUAUCAAAGAGGGUGACAAUCCCGUACUUGACGCGACAACCGGUGCUCUGUGAUACGUUCUCAAUGAGUCGAGUUGUUUGGGAAUGCAGCUCUAAAUGGGUGGUAAAUUCCAUCUAAGGCUAAAUAUUGGCGAGAGACCGAUAGCGAACAAGUACCGUGAGGGAAAGAUGAAAAGCACUUUGGAAAGAGAGUUAAACAGCACGUGAAAUUGUUAAAAGGGAAACGAUUGAAGUCAGUCGUGUGAAAGGUAUUCAGCCGUCUCUGGCGGUGUAUUUGCCUUUCACGGGUCAACAUCAGUUUGAUCCGGUAGAAAAAGGCGGGAGGAAGGUGGCACCCUCGGGUGUGUUAUAGCCUCCUGUCAUAUGUGCCGGACCAGACUGAGGAACGCAGCUUGCCGCAAGGCCGGGGUUCGCCCACGUACAAGCUUAGGAUGUUGACAUAAUGGCUUUAAACGACCCGUCUUG